rnacentral:rRNA from 1 species
UACGGAGGGGGCAAGCGUUGUCCGGAAUUACUGGGCGUAAAGCGUGCGUAGACGGUAGCGUAAGUCAGAUGUGAAAGCCCCGGGCUCAACCUGGGAAUUGCAUUUGAGACUGCUCUGCUCGGGUGCGGAAGAGGGAAGCGGAAUUUCCGGUGUAGCGGUGAAAUGCGUAGAUAUCGGAAGGAACACCAGUGGCGAAAGCGGCUUCCUGGUCCGACACCGACGUUCAGGCACGAAAGCGUGGGGAGCAAACAGG